rnacentral:rRNA from 1 species
AGAGUUUGAUCCUGGCUCAGAACGAACGCUGGCGGCGUGGAUAAGACAUGCAAGUCGAGCGCUGAUUACAGGGUAGCCAUAUUCUGUGGUCGGAGCGGCGCAAGGGUGCGUAACACGUGGGCAAUCUGCCGUGAAGUCGGGGACAACUUGCUGAAAGGCGAGCUAAUACCGGAUGUAACAACUGAAAGGCAUCUUUUGGUUGUCAAAGCUGGGGACCGUAAGGCCUGGCGCUUCAUGAUGAGCCCGCGGCCUAUCAGCUAGUUGGUGAGGUAACGGCUCACCAAGGCUAAGACGGGUAGCUGGUCUGAGAGGACGACCAGCCACACUGGAACUGAGACACGGUCCAGACACCUACGGGUGGCAGCAGUCGAGAAUUUUUCACAAUGGGCGAAAGCCUGAUGGAGCGACGCCGCGUGGGGGAUGAAUGGCUUCGGCCCGUAAACCCCUGUCAUUUGCGAUCAAACGUUAUUGUUUAAGAGAUGAUAACCUGAUAGUAGCGAAAGAGGAAGGGACGGCUAACUCUGUGCCAGCAGCCGCGGUAAUACAGAGGUCCCAAGCGUUGUUCGGAUUCACUGGGCGUAAAGGGUGCGUAGGUGGCGAGGUAAGUCGGAUGUGAAAGCUCGGAGCUCAACUCCGAAAUGGCAUUGGAAACUACCUUGCUCGAGGGUUGGAAGGGGGACUGGAAUUCUCGGUGUAGCAGUGAAAUGCGUAGAUAUCGAGAGGAACACCAGUGGCGAAGGCGAGUCCCUGGACAACUCCUGACACUGAGGCACGAAAGCUAGGGGAGCAAACAGGAUUAGAUACCCUAGUAGUCC